rnacentral:rRNA from 1 species
GGUAAGGCGUAGGCGGCUGAUUAAGUCAGCGGUGAAAGGUAGCAGCUUAACUGUUUUACAUGCCGUUGAUACUGGUUAGCUUGAGUUGACAGAAGGCAGAUAGAAUUCCUGGUGUAGCGGUGAAAUGCUUAGAUACCAGGAGGAAUACCGAUUGCGAAGGCAGUCUGCUGCAGUCACACUGACGCUGAGGCUCGAAGGUGCGGGGAUCAAACAGGAUUAGAUACCCGUGU